rnacentral:rRNA from 1 species
AACGAACGCUGGCGGCAGGCCUAAAACAUGCAAGUCGAACGAACCUUCGGGUUAGUGGCGCACGGGUGAGUAACGCGUGGGAACAUGCCCUUCACUGCGGAACAACGUCGGGAAACUGACGCUAAUACCGCAUAAUGACUCCGGUCCAAAGAUUUAUCGGUGAAGGAUUAGCCCGCGUCUGAUUAGCUAGUUGGUGAGGUAAUGGCUCACCAAGGCGACGAUCAGUAGGGGGUCUGAGAGGAUGAUCCCCCACACUGGAACUGAGACACGGUCCAGACUCCUACGGGAGGCAGCAGUUAGGAAUAUUGGACAAUGGGGGAAACCCUGAUCCAGCCAUGCCGCGUGUGUGAAGAAGGCCUUAGGGUUGUAAAGCACUUUCAGCUGUGAAGAUAAUGACAGUAGCAGAAGAAGAAGCUCCGGCUAAAUUCGUGCCAGCAGCCGCCGUAA